CUCAAACUCUGACGAAAUUAGCGCCUUUUCAUGUCACCCUGAAAGCCUCCAUCCAACUCCUUUUGUAUGCCUGAGUACUCAGUUCAGAAUAGAUCAAUAGAUCUCAAAUGUGACCAGGGGCCAGCUGUACUAAUUACUGAAUAUAUUAAUCACAACUCCUUUGCUCUCAGAAAUGAAGAACCUCCUAAUGCCUAAUGCACUUGAUUAAUAUCUCACAAAUAGUGCAGAGUGCUUCUGACAGUAAAGGAGUUUGAAAAAUACAACUAUGUUGUUUCAGACACAAGUAGGCAAAGCAAAAGUAUUUGGACAUUUAGAUGCCCUCAAAUAGACUUUUUUGGAAUGUUAAUGACACACAUACAAUUUAAGUUUUCAUAGAUUUUAUUAUUUGACCGUUGAUGUCAAAUAAUAGAUUUUAUGAUUUUAUUCCUGGCCAAGAAUACAUUUUUUUAAUUCUGAUUUCCCUAAAGUGAAUCAGACUUUUGAUAAGUGCCUUAUUUGUCAGAAUUAUGGAAAAUAACAUAUGCUGCAUUAAAAGAAAAGAUAGCAGGUGUAUAAUUGUCCAAUGUUCUUGUACUGUUCUCCUCCCAUGUGCAAAUGCAAUUUAACAGCCAGCCAAAGUCCAUCCAUAAAGUACCGAUGAGUCGGGAUUCAUCUUAGUCUUUCUCGUUUAACUCUCUAAGAUCAGUGCAAAAGACACUAAAAAUGCUCUGUUGAUUUUGGUCACACAAAUAAGUGUUAUACAUCAAUCAAAACUGUUAAGUGUCUACUUUUAUUUUUGUACACUCAGAAUAACAACACAACUUUGUGCUUUUGGAAAAAUAAGAAAACAAACAGGGUGCGCUCUCUGUCUUCUCCAUCUCCGCGAACUGCUUUUGGAAAACGCGUCACUAAAAUUGUAACUCAGCAAAUGCUCAACACAGAGACAUGGGAGUUAUAUCUAUAGAAAGCUGAAAUCCCGCCCCUGCGCGGCUCGCGCAGUUCAUAUGUAAAUAGCCACGUGGGACGUGCACACGUGCAAACACCCAACACAAACAAAGAGCGAAGAGAUCCUCAUUGCGGCUACUGUUCGUUUCUGGAAGAAGACGUGCUGAGUAAAGGCAGGAUUUCCCUUGAAAGGAGAACAUGAUUUCAUCCAGUAAAGGAGAUCAAUCUGAUGAAUACCUGCACCACAGAUGUAUUCUGAUGUCUCUUCAAACUGUUUUCCUCUGAGAGCGCUGUACCAACAUCAGAUGUUCAACUACACUGAUAUUCUAUGUUAAAACAAGCUCCUUGACUACUGAUUAUGUUUUUUUCUUCUUGAAUCCAUGGAAAGAAGUAGAAACACUUAAAUAACACACGUAAAUAUCAGGUAUGAUUUACUUGUUUCACUUGUUGAACAGAAUCUGUUGCAGGAAUGACUCAAAGUCUGUUCACAUCUCUGUGGUUAGAUCAGUGUGCACAAUAAUGUGUCUUUGACCUUCAUUAUGUAUGUUUUGAUUAUACUGUGUUGUAAAUAAAAUACAAAUAAUUUAAAAAAAA